UACGAAGGGGGCUAGCGUUGCUCGGAAUCACUGGGCGUAAAGGGUGCGUAGGCGGGUUUUUAAGUCAGAGGUGAAAUCCUGGAGCUACAACUCCAGAACUGCCUUUGAUACUGAAAGUCUUGAGUAUGGGAGAGGUGAGUGGAACUGGCGAGUGUAGAGGUGAAAUUCGUAGAUAUUCGCAAGAACACCAGUGGCGAAAGGCGGCUCACUGGCCCAUUCUGGACGCUGAGGCA
rnacentral:rRNA from 1 species